GACCGCGACCCCAGGUCAGAC
rnacentral:rRNA from 1 species